UAGAAUCCGUGGAGUUAGCUGCUUCACUCACAUGUUCAGAUGGACUGCAAAAUAUAGCAACAGCUGUCAUAGUGUAUAUACCUUCCCUAGCACUGAGAUAAGAUGAUUUUUCAAUUUGUUAUUUUUUUCACUAAGACUGAAAGGAUUAAAUACGGUGUGGUUACAGAGAUACAGAUGUGUCAGAUUGGAGAAAGAUAGAGAUGCAAUUAUUAGCUAAAGGAACGUGCAGAACUUCAAGACUUGAGUUAACAACUUCCAAAAGGGGAGUCAUAUGGAUCGAUCAAGUGUCACUCAUACCUUCAGAUACAUACAAGGUGAAUUGCAUUUUUAUCCUGUCUUCCUAACGGGUACUGAAAAUUCCAAACACAUGAUGUGAUCUGGAAUAAUAACAAUAAUAAUAGUUUGCAUUUAUAAUUUAGAAACUCGAAUAAUAAUAACAAUAAUAAUAAAAAUAAUGAUGAUGAUGAUGAUAAUUUAAUCCACCUUAUCUAAUGCUUCUAAAAUAUAAAUAAUAAGAGUAGGAACUGGUUUGUUGUACCUUAAUCGUUAUUUUGUUGUAUAUAUACAGGGCCAUGGCUUUCGCAAGGAACUCAUACACAUGCUUAUGGACUUAAGACCACGGUUCCUUCGAUUUCCUGGUAUUUCAUAUGUUUUUUAAAUUAAGAUCAACUAAUAAAUGCUGCACGUUUACGUUCUAAACUUUUAGCAUGUUUAUGAUACUGUUUAUAUCCAAUGAUUCUUGCAAACUUUCGAUUGGUAUUCCUUUGUAUUUUUUUAGAUCAUAUUCAGCCAUUAGGUUUUGGCAGGAACUAAUUAAGCAACCCAUCUCAAACCGGAAUAUGCCUAGACGGACAAUCAUAAACAUUAUUAUGUCUGCCAAAGGAACUACUAAUUACAGAAGCACAAAACUGUAGAAGUACACUGUAGUCUCCUUUGUACUGCAUAUCACCUUUUGUUCUGUAGAAUGCAUUUUUUAUGGUUGCGAAAUCAAGUUAAAACUGACAAGGUUUGAUGUGCAAGAUAGAGUAGGACUCUCUAUUGUACCAUGUACUGUGUUUAUAUAUGCCCGCAUUAGGCCCAUAUCAAUAGCUGACCUUAUUACACAAGAGUGUUAAACAUAUAUGAUCAAAUAGAUCCUUAAUGUUCUCUUAUGUAUCAAGUUGGCUAACCCGAAAAGCAGAUCUUGCAGCUGGUGUACCCAGCAGACAGUUUUUAUACUGUGGUAUUUUUAAUUCAUAAUGGAAGCUUUUAUUACCCCCGGCCUCUGCAUCAUAAGAUUCAUACACACAAAUUUAUCUUGUGGUAUAGUCCAAGAUAUGGAUAACACAAAAAUCUAAAACUACUUUACCAGAACAAACUGUAAUUGAGCACAAAAUUCUUAUUAUUUUAGUGUCUCAUGCAACGUUCUUUUUACAUAGUCAUUCUGUUUAGGUUGAUUUGAGAAUUGAGAUGAUAUGCUUAAGUAUAUCAUUGCCUUUUUAGAACUGUACAACUUAUUAAUCUUCGUCCAGAUUAGAGUGAUGAUGCUAAUGUACUUGGCACUGUAUGCUUAACGCAUAAAUUUGAAGAAUGAGUAGAAGUUUCAAAUUUGACGACAAGUUAAACUGAAAAUGACUAUCUUACGCCUAAUGUCAUAUGUGCCAUAUUUCUCUGUAUUUUUCAUAUGGAUGCCAUAUUUCUCUGUAUUUUUUCAUAUGAAUGCCAUGCUGGGUACUUUAUUCUAGAAACAAAUGAAAUUUUGUAACCAGAUUUUUAAAAAUUCUUCAAUCAUACAUAUAUUGAUAUUUCACACCAUUUUUUUAUAGGUGGUACCUUUGUUGAAGGGAAUUUGUUAAGAAAUGCUUUCAGAUGGAGGGAAACUAUCGGUCCAUGGGAAGAGAGGCCUGGUCACUAUGGAGACGUCUGGAACUACUGGACAGAUGAUGGUCUUGGGUAUUAUGAGCUUCUCCAGGUAUGCUGAUUAAUCUCAUAUGAAUUUUCUAGGUGUAGCCAUAUCUUAACUCAUACAUUGAGUGUGCGAUGUCUAUGAAAGCUUGCGGAAGACCUGGCCGCCGAACCAAUCUGGGUUUUUAACGCUGGUAAAUAGUACUCUUGCAAUUUUUCCUUUAAUCGUACUUUAACAUAUCUUGCAGAAUAAUCACCUGCAUACCGAUUAAUUUCUUGAACUUUUUUCUCUUGAAUUUUAGGGAUCAGCCGGCAUGAUCAAGUUGAUAUCACUGCUAUUGCACCCUUUGUAAAGGUAUUUUUUUAUGGAAUAGAUCUUUCACUGUAUGGAUCACUCUUAGUGCAGUACAGUUUAAUGUUCUUUUUUAUGGGUGCAUAUACAAAAAGAACAUAUGGCGUCUCUUUUCAGAACAUAUUUAUGAGCAUAUUAGAUCCAGGUAAGUUAGGUGGUCUUGAAAAUAGCAGCUGUACACACUAGUUUACUGGUAUGGUAUCUGAAUGACAACAACACAUAGACAUAUAGUGUGUAUACUCAAUGGAACAUUGCUCAGAGGGAAGAUAGUUAGCAUAAUGAAAAGCCAAACUGGCACAAUGGGACAUAGUGUGUCACCUAUGUCACUGUCAAUGUUCUUCAAAAAAAGUUAACCCACAUAGCAGAUGCUAUGGAUCUAACAAGAGCUCUUUUAAAAUUGUACUGGUGUAUUUAUGUAUUUGUGAUGCAGAGGGUUUAACCUCCUUUUCCAAAAAAAAUAUUAUGUAUUUGUGAAAAGGCAUCAAUAUCUUUAGAAAGGUUAAAGUGGCCUCUUAUCCUCUACUCCAUCCGUUCCUAAAUAUAAGUCUUUUUAGAGGUUCCACUAGGGGACUACAUACGGAUGUAUAUAGACACACUUUAGAGCGUAGAUUCACUCAUUUUGCUUCAUAUGUAGCCCCCUAGUGAAAUCUCUAAAAGACUUAUAUUUAGGAACGGAGGGAGUACAAAGUAAUAUAUCAUCCUAGCUAUUAUAUCAACAUAACUGGACGAUCCAGAACAAUUUGGGAGCAUCUUAAAAUUUCUCAUCUAAAAAAUAUUUAGGCCUAUGCAUUUCUCAUGAUUGUAAGUUCUUUGUUUUUUUUUGCCUUGCUAUAGGAUGUAUUGGACAGCCUUGAGUUCGCUAGGGGAAGUUUAAAAUCAACAUGGGGAUCCGUUAGAGCUGCAAUGGGGCAUCCUGAACGAUUUCCACUGAAGUAUGUCGCGGUUGGGAAUGAAGACUGUGACAACACCAAACCAUUUUACCAGGGUAAAUUUUUAUUAGUAAUUAACAUGCGUAAACUGUAAAGGUAAUGUUUGCCAUUUAAUACUCCCUCUGUAAAGAANNNNNNNNNNNNNNNNNNNNNNNNNNNNNNNNNNNNNNNNNNNNNNNNNNNNNNNNNNNNNNNNNNNNNNNNNNNNNNNNNNNNNNNNNNNNNNNNNNNNNNNNNNNNNNNNNNNNNNNNNNNNNNNNNNNNNNNNNNNNNNNNNNNNNNNNNNNNNNNNNNNNNNNNNNNNNNNNNNNNNNNNNNNNNNNNNNNNNNNNNNNNNNNNNNNNNNNNNNNNNNNNNNNNNNNNNNNNNNNNNNNNNNNNNNNNNNNNNNNNUUCUUUACAGAGGGAGUACCUUAGUAUUCUGAAGUGAUGUGAUGGCCAUUGGCCAAGUCUAAUCGACAAUUCCUCGACAUGACUUUUUUUGUCAAGCAUAUCUAAAACCACAUUUUACAUCUUUAUUUCCCUUUUUUAGCCAUAAUUGAAUUGUGGACUUGAUUAUGAGCAACGCCAUGACAAAAAUGGAAGAAAAAAUUUAGCCGUCCACUAGACCACUAACAUUGGAUUUGCACAUAAAUUAAGCUUUCCAUCCUAGCUUACAGAAUUACAGUGGCCUUCACUUGUUUUGGUGGAAUAAUAAAAAAUGAAGAGCUUGCUUAGAAUUUCCCAUGUUUCACAUGAUGUCCUUAAAUUCUAUUCAACAGGACAUUACCUCAAGUUCUACAAUGCCAUACGAGAGGCCUAUCCAGAUAUUCAAAUUAUUUCAAACUGUGACGGCUCAUCUAAGCCACUUGACCAUCCUGCGGAUUUAUAUGAUUUCCAUGUGAGUUUAUUGCUUGCAAAUUAGUUUGUCAUUUCUCCCUGUUUAACUGUCACCAGAUAUUUUAGUAGUUAUUUUAUCAAUGGUUUCUUAAAAUACUCUGCCUUCGUUUCUGUAGACAUAUAAGGAUGCGAAUAAUAUUUUUCUCAUGAAAGAUACGUUUAGCAGGACAUCACGUACCGGGCCUAAGGUACGGCUUAGUUUCUAAAGGCGUAUGGAGUGGUUUAUGUUGGUAAUAGAUGUUUCAUGGACCUAGUUUCUGACUUUCUAGGGAGUUCUGAGGUCACUGUUUCUUAUGCUUAUUGUGCAACUGAAAUUGACAUCCAUGUGUACUGAUUAAUAUACCAAAAAAUCUAUUGAAAUCAUCGUAUUAUAUUUUUUCAAUUCCCAUACAGUUUUCUUAGAUUCUUGGAAGAAAGAUCUUAACAGAUCCAUAGUGAUAAGCGCCACACUGUUAUCAUGUUCUAGAAUUGUGUGUUCUGUAGACUGAAGGUGUCUUAUAAUUAUCCUAAGAUCUUAUUUCAGGUAUUCGUUAGUGAGUAUGCUGUUCAUGUUGAUGGGGAUACCAGCAAGGGAACCCUUCUAGCUUCAUUGGCAGAAGCUGCAUUCCUCAUUGGAUUAGAAGUGAAUAGGUAAUGUCUUGCCUUCCUUCUUUUCUUGAGGUUUAGGGAAACACUACUAAUGCAAAGGGUUGUCUUUUUAUCAUAAGUUAUCUUUCUGUAUAAGUUUUCCUGGGUGUAAAUGCUCUUUGAUACCUGUUCAUAUGGUAAGAAACUAUGAGAUAUAUAUGUUGAACAAUGAAUAAUCUUCUAAAUAUUUAUUUAACAAUAAUGCCUUACUAUGAGUUAUUGAGAUGGUUUUGCGUUAUUCUCCUCUGCAGUGAUAUCGUCCACAUGGCGAGCUAUGCUCCACUCUUCGUAAAUGAAAACGACCGCCAGUUAGCACUGACAGCUUUCUGUGUGUGUUUUCGUACUAGCAUUCUUAUUUAUGAUGGUUUCAUAAUUAUGUCUGAAUAUAAUGAUCAGGUGGACCCCAGAUGCAAUAGUCUUCAACUCCUGGCAACAGUAUGGAACUCCUAGCUACUGGAUGCAGACAUUUUUCCGUGAAUCAAGUGGUGCUGUGAUCCAUCCUAUGAGACUCAAUUCCAGCUACUCUGGUUCAUUGGCAGCAUCUGCAAUUACCUGGGGAGACAAUGAGGAUAUCUUCCUGAGGAUAAAGGUAAACUCAGUUGUCCCAGUUUCCACCGAGCCUGCAUGUCAUUGCUUCACUUCAUUAGAUAAAGGGUAGUAAAAAACUCACAGAUAUGGUUUCUACUGCUAGAGUAAUAUGUCUAGCUUUUAGGAAUUAGAACUCCGUACCGAUCUUCAUGUGAUCUUCUGCAGAUUGUGAACUUUGGGUCAAAUGCUGUGAACCUCACCUUAUCUGCAAUCGGACUGCAAGCUGGUGUCAAUACGUCACGCUCAGCUGUCACCGUUCUCACAUCCGACAAUGUGUUGGAUGAGAACACGUUCGAUGACCCACGUAACGUAAGAUGGUUCCUUUGCUUUUCUUACGGAUUUUCUGUUUCAUACAUUACGCGCUAGAAUUUUUCGUGUAACAUGUAUCUUGCAAAUGGUGCAGGUUGUGCCAGAAAGAAGUGACCUACCCAAUGCUGCAGAAGAGAUGCAAGCCAUGCUUGUUCCUCACUCUUUCACUUCAUUUGAUCUGGCUCUGGAUCAGUACGGCGAGCUCGUAG
rnacentral:lncRNA from 1 species